rnacentral:tRNA from 1 species
GGGGAUGUAGCUCAGGGUUAGUACAUAUGCUUUGCAUGUAUGAGGCCCAUGGUUCAAUCCCUGGCAUCUCCA